GGUCGGAUGGCGCAAUGGCUAGCGCAUCGGUUUUCGGCUCCGAAAACCACCGAAGGUUGCGAGUUCGAGUCUCGUUCCGAUCG